UUCACUGCUAAACUUAGUUGAGAAGGCACUCUUCCUGCCCAAAGGACCAGCGAGAGUUCAGCCAUCCCUCCAUGAGCCCAGCAAGGGAAUAUCAGAGAGGCAUCUGGCUGGAGACUACAGAGCAUGUUGAAGAAACAGGACAUCAUUAGGAACACUACUUUUCAAGAUGGAAUUUAAAUUUCAGGUGGAAUCAGAAGAUUCCUUGAAUCGAAGUGGCCAGUAUCCUGCGGUGGGGAACCAAGUCAUCUUACAUCUGAUACCAUUUUAAGAUUUUCCACUGCCUUUGCAAAUAUGAAACAUGGGAGCUUCUGGAUCAGCCUCCCACAGGUCCCUUCCAGGGCGGCAGUGCAGCAGAGAGCUCUUUUCAUAGUGACAGCAGAUGUGCAAGAGGACAAAGCAAAUUCAAGGGAUCUUAAGGCCUAGACUCAUCGUGGUGCAUUGUGACUGUCACUUCAUUUUGUUGUCCACAGCAAGUCAGAUGGCUGAACCCAAAGUCAAGGUGAGACUUGCGACUUCUUGGUUGACCAUGACUUCCACCAGCAUCUACCCAGGCUGCUGAGAAGGUGCCAACAGCCUUUGCCAGUGAAAGGCUUUUGCAGGUGCAGCUGUCUUAGGCACCGACCAUCCGUCCUUUGCCAGGUUUGGCCAUCUGUGCUGGGUGACCUCUAGCCCGUGGCCUGUAGCCUGUGCUGCCAGUGCCUCUUCAUCAGCAUCCUCUUCCCCAACACACGCAUUCACAUACCCUGCAGCCAGUGCUCAAGAUCACAGUCUCAAUUCUCUUCCUCCCCCAGAUUGCUGAGGGCUCAGGGAUCCAUGGGCCCCUGUAUACUCUCUCUGUCCCUAUUUAUGUCUGAUGGGGCCUAAGAAAUAUGUACAGUAUUUUUUAGGACCUCCUCAGUUGCCCUGUUGGACUUGAACUUGCACUUUUCUUACCCCAGGCUCCCUCAGUGCUAGGAUUACAGGCCUGCACCACCUCACCCAGCUACGCCUCCACUCUUGAAGCAAAUCCCUAUCACAGGAAUAAAAAAUUUUGGUUUCUUCUAGGCAUCUGAUCUUUAUAAGAUACUCUAAUCAUUUUCUUUAUUUCCAUUAGCUGUGGGGAGGGAAAAGUUAUUCCUCCAUCCCUCUUCAUCUUUUCAGUGGCAGAAGGAGGUAGGAUAAAGGUUAAUGAUAACAGAUAUCUGAGACUUUAAACUCUGAUGGAAUGUUGACGGUAAGUCCUGGAAGAUCUCUUAUUUGAAAAUGUGGAUAUAAUUACUGCUUUAGUUUUAGUUUGAUCUACUAACCUCCUUCAAGGACAACAUGACAAGUCUUAUGAUCUGUUGUCUUACAGCUCAGGCUUAAUUUGGUUCAAAACUGGGCUCUGCUGCUUAAUAAUCAAGUCCCAUUAAAAAAAAAAUCUGUAAAAUGGUGUUAUUUUUUCACAGUUAUUUCCAGUGUAAGAUGAAUAGAUAAAUGUCAUUUGGUUUCUUUAUUAGAGGUGUUAAACACUGCUAGUUAUCUUCCCUCACUAAUCCAUCUCUUGAACCUUAUGUGUUUCCAUGUCUGUGCAUAUGUAUAUCUGUGUCUAGAUACAAAUGUGUAUAUGUGCAUGUAUAAAAUCUAGGCCUUUGGUAUUUCCUCCCCUGAAUCCAUCAGCUAUGUUAUUGGUACGAGGAACAUAUAUUUGGGACACAGUUUUCAACAUUCAGUAACAACAGCCCUAAAUUCUUAUAUGACUCAUCAAGUCAUAAGUUACCGAGGGCACCAGGUAUGGACUCUCUAUUUCCUGCAGCACGUUGUGUAGGUGUAUUGUUACCAGAAAUUCUCCAAAAUGCUACCCAGUCAUUUCAGUCUUUGUUUCUAUAGAAAUGACUAGGAUGAAAGAAAAGAAAGAUUAAAACAAAGAAAUGUGAUUGUUUUUAUAUUCUACCAUCAAGAA